UACGUAGGUGACCAGCGUUGUCCGGAUUUACUGGACGUAAAGAGCGCGCAGGCGGUCGUUCAAGUCGAGUGUGAAAGCCCCGGCUCAACUGGGGAGGGUCACUCGAUACUGAUCGACUUGAAGGCAGGAGAGGGAAGCGGAAUUCCCGGUGUAGUGGUGAAAUGCGUAGAUAUCGGGAGGAACACCAAUGGCGAAGGCAGCUCGCUGGGACGGUACUGACGCUGAGACGCGAAAGCGUGGGGAGCAAACAGG
rnacentral:rRNA from 1 species